ACUGCUUUGGUGUAGUGGUAUCAUUCCUGAUUCCAGUGUGAACUGAAUCCAGGCGGUCACCCGUUCAAUCCGGGUACAGUU